GGAAGGAUCAUUCACAAUGAUAAUCCACACUAUGUGAACCUGGAAUGCAGAAUUGGCGCUUCGGCUGACCGAUGAUGCAUUUCAAUUGGUGUUCUUGUCCGUAAAUGAACAUCACACGCUUGCGUGGUCGGACAAUCAUGUUGUAGUUUAUUAUAUUAUAUAUUAAAAAGCCUUAUUAACUAUCAGCGAUGGAUGUCUUGGCUCCCACAACGAUGAAGGACGCAGCAAAAUGUGAUAAUCAUUGUGAAUUGCAGAAUUCAGUGAAUCAAUAGAACGCUCAACGCACACGGCACUGUAGCUUGCUACAGUAGGUCUGUUUCAGAGUCAUUUGCAAUCUCUCAAGAACUUCGGUUACUUGAGGGUCAAGGUGCUGCUCGGCUAACGCUUGGCAGUCGCAGAGUUCUACAAUUGCUGUGAUGCAACAGAUUCGUUGAAGUUGUUGUAUCUAUGCUUACGUUGUAGCACACAAUUACAUGACCUGAAAUCAGUCCAGGCUACCCGCUGAACUUAAGCAUAUUAUUAAGCGGAGGAAAAGAAAAUAACUAUGAUUCCCUUAGUAGAGGCGAUUGAACAGGGAAAAGCACAAAUUGACAAUCUCACUUUAGGGUGCGAGUUGUAGUCUAAAGAGGCAAAACCUUGGAAAGUGCAGGAAUAAUUUCCUUGAACGGAAAACCAGAGAGGGUGAGAGUCCCGUCUUAGUCCUGCAUCGACCUUUGCGGUUUGCUUUCAAAGAGUCGCGUUCUUUGGGAAUAGAGCGCUAAGUGGGUGGUAAAUGUCAUCUAAUGCUAAAUAUUGGUGGGAGACCGAUAGCGAACAAGUACCGUGAGGGAAAGAUGAAAAGAACUUUGAAAAGAGGGUUAAAAGUGCCUGAAAUUGCUGGUAGGGAA
rnacentral:misc_RNA from 1 species